GAGGGCUUAGCUUAAGUAAAGUAGUUGAUUUGCAUUCAGCAGAUGUAAGGUGAGUCUUACAGUCCUUA
rnacentral:tRNA from 1 species